rnacentral:tRNA from 3 species
UGCGGGAUCGUCUAAUGGUAGGACGGCAGCCUCUGAAGUUGUCUAUCUAGGUCCGAAUCCUAGUCCCGCAG